rnacentral:rRNA from 1 species
GGAAUUUUGGGCAAUGGGCGAAAGCCUGACCCAGCAACGCCGCGUGAAGGAUGAAGUCCCUCGGGAUGUAAACUUCUUAAGCAUAGGAAGAAUAAAUGACGGUAUUAGGCGUAAGCCCCGGCUACCUACGUUCCAGCAGCCGCGGUAAUACGUAGGGAGCAAGCGUUGUUCGGAUUUACUGGGCGUAAAGGGUGCGUAGGCGGCGCGUCAAGUCACUUGUGGAAUCUCCGGGCUUAACUCGGAACGACCAAGUGAUACUGUCGUGCUAGAGUGCGGAAUGGGCAACUGGAAUUCUUGGUGUAGCGGUGAAAUGCGUAGAUAUCAAGAGGAACACCUGAGGCGAAGGCGAGUUGCUGGGCCGACACUGACGCUGAGGCACGAAAGCCAGGGGAGCGAAC